UACGUAGGGUGCAAGCGUUGUCCGGAAUUAUUGGGCGUAAAGAGCUCGUAGGCGGUUUGUCGCGUCUGCUGUGAAAUCCCGAGGCUCAACCUCGGGCCUGCAGUGGGUACGGGCAGACUGGAGUGCGGUAGGGGAGAAUGGAAUUCCUGGUGUAGCGGUGGAAUGCGCAGAUAUCAGGAGGAACACCGAUGGCGAAAGCAGUUCUCUGGGCCGUAACUGACGCUGAGGAGCGAAAGCUAGGGGAGCAAAUGGG
rnacentral:rRNA from 1 species